UAGAUUGAAGCCAGAAAUAGAAUGUUUAGUUGUUAACUAAAUUUUUGUAGGUUUAACUCCUGCCAAUCUAG
rnacentral:tRNA from 1 species